CUGAGUUGCAAAACUCCCAACCCAUGUGAACCUCACCUUCGUCUCGUUGCUUCGGCGGGCCCGCCCGCCGGAGGUAGACAAACUCUUGUUUUUUUUACAGCAUCUCUGAGUGAUUAAAAACAAAUAAUCAAAACUUUCAACAACGGAUCUCUUGGUUCUGGCAUCGAUGAAGAACGCAGCGAAAUGCGAUAAGUAAUGUGAAUUGCAGAAUUCAGUGAAUCAUCGAAUCUUUGAACGCACAUUGCGCCCGCCGGUAUUCCGGCGGGCAUGCCUGUUCGAGCGUCAUUUCAACCCUCAAGCCCGCAAGGGCCUGGUGUUGGGGCGCCCGGGUCCCCCGCGGCCCGGGGCCCCCAAGUUCAUCGGCGGGCUCGUCGGAACACUGAGCGCAGUAACACGCGGUAAAACGCGACCUCGCUCGGCCCGUCCCGGCGCGCACCAGCCGCUAAACCCCCCAUACAUUCAA
rnacentral:misc_RNA from 1 species